rnacentral:rRNA from 1 species
AUUGAACGCUGGCGGAAUGCUUUACACAUGCAAGUCGAGCGGCAGCGCGGGGGCAACCCUGGCGGCGAGCGGCGAACGGGUGAGUAACAUAUCGGAACGUACCCAGUCGUGGGGGAUAACUAUCCGAAAGGAUAGCUAAUACCGCAUACGUCCUGAGGGAGAAAGCGGGGGAUCGCAAGACCUCGCGCGAUUGGAGCGGCCGAUAUCGGAUUAGCUAGUUGGUGGGGUAAAGGCUCACCAAGGCGACGAUCCGUAGCGGGUCUGAGAGGACGACCCGCCACACUGGAACUGAGACACGGUCCAGACUCCUACGGGAGGCAGCAGGUGGGGAAUUUUGGACAAUGGGGGCAACCCUGAUCCAGCCAUUCCGCGUGAGUGAAGAAGGCCUUCGGGUUGUAAAGCUCUUUCAGCAGGAACGAAACGGUGGUCCCUAAUACGGACUACUAAUGACGGUACCUGAAGAAGAAGCACCGGCUAACUACGUG